rnacentral:misc_RNA from 1 species
UACGGAGGGUGCAAGCGUUGUCCGGAUUUAUUGGGUUUAAAGGGUGCGUAGGCGGGUCAUUAAGUCAGUGGUGAAAGCCGACAGCUUAACUGUCGAACUGCCAUUGAUACUGGUGAUCUUGAGUAUAGUUGAGGCAGGCGGAAUUUACGAUGUAGCGGUGAAAUGCAUAGAUAUCGUAAAGAACACCUAUAGCGAAGGCAGCUUGCUAAGCUAUUACUGACGCUGAGGCACGAAAGCAUGGGUAGCGAACAGG